CCUCUGGGGAGGGGGGGCAGGUGCUGCUGCUGCCGCUGCACCCUCGGGAGGGCCGGGAGCGGCGCGAACGGUGAGGGUCUGUGGGCAGGGAGGCAACGUGCGCAAGGGGAGUUCAGUAACAACAAAAAGGGAAAAUAACACGUGUUAUUUACCUCCCGCGAAUGGCUGUGUUUUGCCUAGGCGCGUGAGCUCUCCCUGAAGGGCUUAGGUAAGCGUCCUUCCACAGUAAGUUUCUCAUUUACUUAGAUCAGGAACAGUACCGCGGAAAUCGGAGCUUAGAGUUAUUUACAACAAAGAAAUUAACCCCGCUGUGCUUUGAGAGUUUUUUUGGUAUGUUUUUCAAAUAGUGUUCCUGUCUCGAUAUUUGCUAUAGAUAGUAUCUCACGUUUUAAUUGUGGCUGAGUGAAAACCAGGUAUUUUUUUACUUACCAGUAUUGUGGGUUUCAUAUUAGAACUGAGUAGGGUUUAUUUAGAGAUGCUUUAUUAAUCAAAAAAUGUGCAUUUUCUUAUUUAGUAGUGAAUUGCAACUGCAUUCUUCCUGCCGAGUGGUUUCAUUCGGGAACAUUUUGGGAGCUGCAGUGCUGCUGGCUCGAUUUGCUUACAGGAAAGAAUCUACUUUUCCUCUGUUCUGGGGACACCCGUCAGAGAACUGGGAGCAGAUGUUUUGCGUUUGGCACAGGAGUCUUGGAGGGUGUCCUAACUGGUUACCAGAUACUUACAUAUUGUAUACUAAACUGGACAUCUGAAACAGUAAAGCUCCAGAGACUUCUCCAUUAACUCACCAGAUGACAUCAUGAAGUUCUAAGACUGAUGUUCAGGGUAUUUUGGGGAUAAGGCGUGAGAGUGGUUGUUGCUCCUUUCUAAAUAAUUGCUUACUCACUACUGGUGUUCUACUUUAGAACAGGAAAGAUUGGUAACAUCAUUUCAUCCCCUUCCUUUGUUUCUAUAUCUUGUACCAUAAUGGGUGGGAUACUUCUACAGAAGAUUACGUCACCUUAUCCUUUGUUGUGCCCAAGAUACCCUCUGGAAAUGCUAUGAGUUAGAAACUUAAUAAAAUCCAUGGAACUAUAAGUCUAAGCAAAAGUAUACAUGCAGAUACUCCUAAAUUUUUUGUUUCAGGAAGGUUAUUGCUCACAAAGAACUGUUCUUGCCAUCUGCCUACUUUCUCCCAGGAUUGUUUGCAAUAAUUCUGUUGCCUCUUUGGAUGGAAUGUGUUUUAUUAUUUCAGCUCCUUUGAGAAAACUUUGUUGUCAGAAUAGAAUGCAUUGCAGUUUUUUUGCUGAAGUGUCUUAAUGGUAUUGGUUAAAUAAUACUAGUUUAAUAAAUAAACAUAGGAGUUUGCAGGUU